CAAGUGCCAUAGUAACUGAUGGCACCUUGACGGUACCUAACCAGAAAGCCACGGCUAACUACGUGCCAGCAGCCGCGGUAAUACGUAGGUGGCAAGCGUUGUCCGGAAUUAUUGGGCGUAAAGCGCUCGCAGGCGGUUCUUUAAGUCUGAUGUGAAAUCUUACGGCUCAACCGUAAACGUGCAUUGGAAACUGGGGAACUUGAGUGCAGAAGAGGAGAGUGGAAUUCCACGUGUAGCGGUGAAAUGCGUAGAGAUGUGGAGGAACACCAGUGGCGAAGGCGACUCUCUGGUCUGUAACUGACGCUGAGGAGCGAAAGCGUGGGGAGCGAACAGGAUUAGAUACCCUGGUAGUCCACGCCGUAAACGAUGAGUGCUAGGUGUUAGGGGGUUUCCGCCCCUUAGUGCUGAAGUUAACGCAUUAAGCACUCCGCCUGGGGAGUACGGCCGCAAGGCUGAAACUCAAAAGAAUUGACGGGGGCCCGCACAAGCGGUGGAGCAUGUGGUUUAAUUCGAAGCAACGCGAAGAACCUUACCAGGUCUUGACAUCCUCUGAACACUCUAGAGAUAGAGUUUUCCCUUCGGGGACAGAGUGACAGGUGGUGCAUGGUUGUCGUCAGCUCGUGUCGUGAGAUGUUGGGUUAAGUCCCGCAACGAGCGCAACCCUUGAUCUUAGUUGCCAG
rnacentral:rRNA from 1 species